rnacentral:rRNA from 1 species
UACAGAGGGGGCAAGCGUUGUUCGGAAUUACUGGGCGUAAAGGGCGCGUAGGCGGCCUGCUAAGUCGAACGUGAAAUCCCUGGGCUCAACCCAGGAACUGCGUCCGAUACUGGUUGGCUUGAAUCCGGGAGAGGGAUGUGGAAUUCCGCGUGUAGCAGUGAAAUUCGUAGAUAUUCGGAGGAACACCAGUGGCGAAGGCGGCUCACUGGUCCAUUACUGACGCUGAGGUGCGAAAGCGUGGGGAGCAAACAGG